CGAGCCUGGGCAACGGCGGGCGCCCCUCCCCCAGCCUCGCUGCGGACUUGCUGUUUGAUCUCAGACUGCUGGGCUAGCAAUCAGCGAGACUCCGUGGGCGUAGGACCCUCUGAGCCAGGUGCGGGCUAUACUCUCCUGGGGCACCGUUUCCUAAGCCCCUCGGAAAAGCACAGUAUUCGGGUGGGAGUGGCACCCCUGGAAAGGGAACUCCCUGACCCCUUGCGCUUCCCGAGUGAGGCAAUGCCUCGCCCCUGCUUCGGCUGGCGCACGGUGCACUCACCCACUGACCUGCGCCCACUGACUGGCACUCCCUAGUGAGAUGAACAUGGUACCUCAGAUGGAAAUGCAGAAAUCACCCGUCUUCUGCGUCGCUCGCGCUGGGAGCUGUAGACUGGAGCUGUUCCUAUUCGGCCAUCUUGGCUCCUCCUGAGAACUUCACAUUUUAAAAAACGCAUUGAACACAAAGUUUUCUAAGGUAGAAGCCCAGAUCAUUGAUUUUAAACCUGUCUUCUUUUUAAUUGAAUCCAAAUCCACCUCACUCCCAGACCUCAUGAAACCAACUGAUCUAAUUUCUGUUACUACAGGGCAGUCCAGAGUGGCACA